rnacentral:rRNA from 1 species
GACGAACGCUGGCGGCGUGCUUAACACAUGCAAGUCGAACGGAAAGGCCCUGCUUUUGUGGGGUGCUCGAGUGGCGAACGGGUGAGUAACACGUGAGUAACCUGCCCUUGACUUUGGGAUAACUUCAGGAAACUGGGGCUAAUACCGGAUAGGAGCUCCUGCUGCAUGGUGGGGGUUGGAAAGUUUCGGCGGUUGGGGAUGGACUCGCGGCUUAUCAGCUUGUUGGUGGGGUAGUGGCUUACCAAGGCUUUGACGGGUAGCCGGCCUGGGAGGGUGACCGGGCACAUGGGGGCUGAGGGACGGACCAGAGUCCUACGUGAGGCAGCAGUGGGGAAUAUUGCACAAUAGGAGGAAGCCUGAGGCAGCAACGCCGCGUGCGGGAUGACGGCCUUCGGGGUGUAAAACGCUUUCGCCUGUGACGAAGCGUGAGUGACGGUAAUGGGUAAAGAAGCACCGGCUAACUACGUG